rnacentral:rRNA from 1 species
CCUACGGGAGGCAGCAGUGGGGAAUAUUGCACAAUGGGGGAAACCCUGAUGCAGCGACGCCGCGUGAGGGAAGAAGUAAUUCGUUACGUAAAGCUCUAUCAGCAGGGAAGAAAAUGACGGUACCUGAGUAAGAAGCCCCGGCUAACUACGUGCCAGCAGCCGCGGUAAUACGUGGGGGGCCAGCGUUAUCCGGAUUUACUGGGGGUAAAGGGAGCGUAGACGGUGCGCCAAGUCUGGAGGUAAAUGCCGCAGCUUAAAUGCGGAACUGCUGUGGAAACUGGCGAACUAGAGUGCGCGAGGGGUAAGCGGAAUGCGUAGUGUAGCGGUGAAAUGCGUAGAUAUCAGGCGGAACACCGGUGGCGAAGGCGGCUUACCGGAGCGUAACUGACGCUGAUGCUCGAAAACGUGGGGAGCAAACAGGAUUAGAUACCCGUGUAGUC